rnacentral:rRNA from 1 species
AUUGAACGCUGGCGGCAGGCUUAACACAUGCAAGUCGAGCGAGCGGCGGACGGGUGAGUAAUGUCUGGGAAACUGCCUGAUGGAGGGGGAUAACUACUGGAAACGGUAGCUAAUACCGCAUACCAUCAGAUGUGCCCAGAUGGGAUUAGCUAGUAGGUGGGGUAAUGGCUCACCUAGGCGACGAUCCCUAGCUGGUCGGAGAGGAUGACCAGCCAUACUGGAACUGAGCCACGGUCCAGACUCCUACGGGAGGCAGCAGUGGGGAAUGUUGCACAAGGGGCGCAAGCCUGAUGCAGCCAUGCGUCGUGCGUGAAGAAGGCCUUCGGGUUGGAUAGCACUGCCAGCGAGGAGGCGUUACUCGCAGAAGAAGCACCGGCUAACUCCGGGCCAGCAGCCGCGGUAAUUC